UGGGGAAUAUUGCACAAUGGGCGCAAGCCUGAUGCAGCCAUGCCGCGUGUAUGAAGAAGGCCUUCGGGUUGUAAAGUACUUUCAGCGGGGAGGAAGGGAGUAAAGUUAAUACCUUUGCUCAUUGACGUUACCCGCAGAAGAAGCACCGGCUAACUCCGUGCCAGCAGCCGCGGUAAUACGGAGGGUGCAAGCGUUAAUCGGAAUUACUGGGCGUAAAGCGCACGCAGGCGGUUUGUUAAGUCAGAUGUGAAAUCCCCGGGCUCAAACUGGGAACUGCAUCUGAUACUGGCAAGCUUGGGUCUCGUAGAGGGGGGUAGAAUUCCAGGUGUAGCGGUGAAAUGCGUAGAGAUCUGGAGGAAGACCGGUGGCGAAGGCGGCCCCCUGGACGAAGACUGACGCUCAGGUGCGAAAGCGUGGGGAGCAAACAGG
rnacentral:rRNA from 1 species